ACGUUAUUAUGCUGUGCCCGCGCUGGCCCUUGUCGUCUGUUCCUGACACCGCGGCCACCAGUUAAAGCUGCAGCCUGCGGCUCAGUCAUUGGCUGGGCGCGCAGGCUGCAGGGAGGAGGAAGGAAGACGGAUCCCUGGCAGCAUGUGGAGCCAGCAGAGGAUGCGUGGUGCAAGGUGCUGUGGGAUUCCUGAGACUCUACUACCAGGCCGGAAGGAUCAUGGUCAAGAAACUAUACAGGCUAAGCAGAUGACCCCAAGACGUGGAGCUUUAGUGCUGUGUGCCAGCCUUUUAUGACUGCGCAGUGCACGCCUUUCGGGGCUCCAGAGGACUGUGGGAUUGUUCCCCUGAGGUGCUUGAAUUUGGGUCAGGUAAGCGGCCAAUCAGUUGCAUGCCCAACUGCCUAAUGGUGGAAUUCAAGUCUUGGCAUAUAGCAUUUGGGAUUCCAUGAACCUAAUGAUAGCUUGUUGGUUGAUGGUGAUUGACUCCAAAAGAUGAAUACAAGCCUGGUGAAAUAUCUGAUUAGCCUCAUGAGCCUUACGAAGGAGUUAUGGAAAC